rnacentral:rRNA from 1 species
GUUUGAAGUCAUGGCUCAGAUUGAACGCUGGCGGAUGCUUACAUGCAAGUCGAACGGCAGCACGGACUUCGGUCUGGUGGCGAGUGGCGAACGGGUGAGUAAUGUAUCGGAACGUGCCCUAGUAGCGGGGGAUAACUACGCGAAAGCGUAGCUAAUACCACAAUACGCCCUUCGGGAAAGCGGGGGACCUUCGGGCCUCGCACUAUUAAACGGCCGAUAUCGGAUUAGCUAGUUGAAGGUGGGGGUAACGGCUCACCAGAGCGACGAUCCGUAGCUGGUUUGAGAGGACGACCAGCCACACUGGGACUGAGACACGGCCCAGACUCCCUGCGGGAGGCAGCAGUGGGGAAUUUUGGACAAUGGGGGAAAUACAGUCCAGUCAUCCCGCGUGUGCGAUGAAGGCCUUCGGGUUGUAAGCACUUUUGGCAGGAAGAAACGGCACGGGAUAGCACCCGCGCAACUGGCGGUGCCGCAAAGCACCGGCUAACUACGUGCCGGCAACCGCGGUAAUACGUAGGGUGCAGGCGUUAAUCAGAAUUACUGGGCGUAAAGCGUGCGCAGGCGGUUCGGAAAGAAAGAUGUGAAAUCCCAGAGCUUAACUUUGGAACUAUGUUUUUAACUACCGAGCUAGAGUGUGUCAGAGGAGGUGGAAUUCCGCGUGUAGCAGUGAAAUGCGUAGAUAUGCGGAGGAACACCGAUGGCGAAGGCAGCCUCCUGGGAUAACACUGACGCUCAUGCACAACUUAAACGAGUUAGAUACCCUGGUAGUCCACGCCCUAAACGAUGUCAACUGUUGGGGCCUUCUGAACCUUAGUGGCCUGUGCUGCGUGAAGUUGACCGCCUGGGGAAUACAGUCGCAAGAUUAAAACUCAAAGGAAUUGACAGGGACCCGCACAAGCAGUGGAUGAUGUGGAUUAAUUCGAUGCAACGCGAAAAACCUUACCUGUCAAUAUGUCUGGAAUCCCGAAGAGAUUUGGGAGUGCUCGCAAGAGAACCGGAACACAGGUGCUGCAUGGCUGUCGUCAGCUCGUGUCGUGAGAUGUUGGGUUAAGUCCCGCAACGAGCGCAACCCUUGUCAUUAGUUGCUACGAAAGGGCACUCUAAUGAAGCUGCCGGUGACCGGAGGAAGGUGGGGAUGACGUCAAGUCCUCAUGGCCCUUAUGGGUAGGGCUUCACACGUCAUACAAUGGUCGGGACAGAGGGUCGCCAACCCGCGAGGGCCAAUCCCAGAGAGCGAUCGUAGUCCGGAUCGCAGUCUGCAACUCGGCUGCGUGAAGUCGGGUCUCAGUAAUCGCGGAUCAGCAUGUCGCGGUGAAUACGUUCGGGUCUUGUACACACACCGCCCGUCACACCAUGGGAGUGGGUUUGCCAGAAGUGGCCUAACCGUAAGGAGGGCGAUUACCACGGUAGGAUUCAUGACUGAGGUGAAGUCGUAACAAGGUAG